rnacentral:rRNA from 1 species
GACGAACGCUGGCGGCGUGCUUAACACAUGCAAGUCGAACGGAAAGGCCCCUUUGGGGGUACUCGAGUGGCGAACGGGUGCGUAACACGUGAGUAACCUGCCCUUGACUUCGGGAUAACUUCAGGAAACUGGGGCUAAUACCGGAUAGGAAUCCUUGCUGCAUGGUGGGGGUUGGAAAGCUUCGGCGGUUUUGGAUGGACUCGCGGCUUAUCAGCUUGUUGGUGGGGUAGUGGCUUACCAAGGCUUUGACGGGUAGCCGGCCUGCGAGGGCGACCGGCCACAUUGGGACUGAGAGACGGCCCAGACUCCUACGGGAGGCAGCAGGAGGGAAUAUUGCACAAGGGGCGGAAGCCUGAUGCAGCAACGCCGCGUGCGGGAUGACGGCCUUCGGGUUGUAAACCGCUUUCAGCAGGGGCGAAGCUUGUGGUGACGGUACCUGCAGAAGAAGCACCGGCUAACUACGUG